CUAUUGGUCUGUCUGUCUUUGCUUCUCUCUGUUUCUCUGUGUCUCUGUUUCUCUUGGAUUCUGUCUGUCUGUCUGACAGGGUCAACAGAGCCUGAACAAGCUCCUCUCCCAAUGACUUUCCAGGUGGUGAAAGGCCUGCAGCAGGCACCCUGGAUGGGAUCAGCUGCUCUGCUCCACGAGGCUCCCAGUGCCAUCUCAGCAGGUCUGCGCUGCCUCAGGUCUGAAAUGAUGUCUUCUCUUUCCUGUUUCCUGAGCAGCUCAUUCUGUUGCCUGUCAAAUAGGCCCUUUCCCCAGGACCCUUGGGGUCCAGGUGAGUGGAGCAGCCUCCCACACAGGAAGCCCUGAGUUUUCCCCAUCUGGGCCUUUCUUUCUGUCCCUGAUAUCCAGCUGGUCACCAGAUCCUGGCGGCUGAAAGUCAUUCUCAAGUCCAGCCUCCUUGAUCCACCGCUGCCCCUCGGUCCACGUUCCUGGACGUCAGUCUCUCACUGAGCGUGAUGUGUGGCUCGCGUCUGCGGCUGAGAAAUCGUUUCAAACGCAUGCUUUCCCCUGUUACAUCCAGCGUAGGAUCUGACCCGGCAGGACCUCAGCAAGGACUCGUGGCUGCUUUCAGAGUGGACACCUGCCAUCACGUUUUCCUGAGCAUUUCCCUAUGCUGCCGGCGCACUGGGGAGCUCUACUCAACCCACAACGGACUGCAGAUCUUUUGACCGCUGCAUUCACAACUUUGUCCCGAGCCGCUCCGUGAAAGGCAUCCUGGAAGUCUAUCGGUCUUCCCACCAGCGUUCAAGACUCCCAGAUCCCCACGGGGCCCUGAUACCAUCUCUGUGUGGGCAGCUGCCCGUGUGUGCGGGAGCGCCCUGCCUGAGGCGGAGGGAGCACAGCAUCCGUUCGGAGGUGGGUGAACCUCGCGUGUUCUGCACAGGGCUUGAGGUAGGUCUUGGCGAGCAGCCCUGGCCCCUCACCAGGGGACAGUAGGUGGGGUUCUAAAUUGUGAGUCAUUCAUCUCCUCUUCAUAUGUCUGAAUUAUGCAUACAUUCCUUGUGGUUUGGAUGCUAGUCUAUGAAUAUGUAGGCAACUUGUUUAUUAUGGCAUUUACAGGGAUUUUGCAAAAAAGUUAUCCAGAAACCCUUUAGGUUCAGUGGUUGAAUUUAACAAAUAUCUACUGUGCACCUACUCUAUGACAGAAAUUGUGAUUGGUGUCAAGGACAUAAAGAUGAAUAAGAUAAUAAGCACCUGCCUUCAGUGUGCUCUGGGGUUAGCAGGGAGAACACACAAUCCAGCUGGUCUACAGAGACUGACUUAUUAUCAACGUUUAUCACAGCGUGUGGGAAAUAUGAGCUAAUCAUACGUCAGAUAAUAACAUGACGACGCCAAAACCAAACCAAAUCAAAACAGGUCAAGAAGCCAAACCAACAAACCAACCCCAGCACCACAACAGAAACUAACUCAAGUAACAUUGAAUGUGGAACCUUGACCACAACCCUUGACCUGCAGACAAAAUGCCUGCAAACAAAUAUCUGCAAACUCGACUUGUGGGUUUAAUUUCACUUUGGGGCAGGGCAGCAAUUCUGUAAUGAUUUUCUGUCUUGUAGGAUUGAGCAAAUACAAGAUUCCAUCAGUGC